AAAACGACUCUCGGCAACGGAUAUCUAGGCUCUCGUAUCGAUGAAGAACGUAGCGAAAUGCGAUACUUGGUGUGAAUUGCAGAAUCCCGCGAAUCAUCGAGUUUUUGAACGCAAGUUGCGCCCGAAGCCAUUCGGCCGAGGGCACGUCUGCCUGGGUGUCACGC
rnacentral:rRNA from 1 species